UUUGGCCUGGUUAGUGACCUGGCACAAGCCCGAUCCAGGCACAUAUGGACUAGGCCUGUGGAUUUUGGCUGGACUUAAUGAUUUUCAUAAAUAGACGGGCUCUGCCCUUGCCCGUUUAUUAAAUUGGCUAAAUGAGCCGUGUUUGACACCUGUUAACUAUAUGGGAAAAAAUGUAUUGAUUUGUAAAUCAGUGGUGUCAAGUUUGAACACAAUAACACCUUAAUAAUUUCGACUAUCGCUUGUAUUAAAAAAAAAAAAAAAACCCCAAAUUCAAAUGUCCUCUACUCAAUAAAUUGAGAGCCGCAUGAUGAAUUUGAACGGACAAGAUUUUUGCGUUCACGCGAGGAGAGUGUCCGAGGCCUAUAAUCUUGAAAUUU
rnacentral:lncRNA from 1 species